UACUAAAUAUGCAGAAUUUCCAAUAAUACAGGUAGUCCUCACAGUGAUUUACCUGCACAACAACUGCUCGGACUUAUGACCAGCUCUCUAGCGCGGGGAUUUGAGGGAUUCCCCCAACAUAGAUUCAAGCACUAGUUAGCUGGUCUAUAUGCGGGGGAAUUCCCCGAACAUUCUCUCUAGCUCAUGCUCUCUAGUGAAUACAAUUUGUUUCACAACUGAGUCGUAGGAACGGAGACCGGUCGGUAAGUGAAGAUCAUCUGUAUUUAUUAAACUUAUUGGUUUUAUUUAUUAUCCACAUAAAGGAUGACCUUAGAAACUAAAAAUCACUCCAUUUACGUAACAAAAUAGAUAUGAAAGUUUGCUAAAAACUAGCUAGGACAAGGCCAGAGCAAGGCUAGAACAUAGUUAUUUCAACAAUGAUUACCUGACUUUUGCCACAUAUUUUGAUUCAGCACAGCAUACAUGCCAGACUCUUCAAUGUCCGCAUUGUGCAACUUCAUUGUUUGCAUUGAUAGUUAGCAUAUCUGAUAAGUAAUACUAAAACAGCAUACAUUUAUUAUUACAAUAACAUAUUGCUUAAUCCUUAUAUCAACUGCAUUUUAGUUAACAACAUUAACCCAGAAUAGCAAAAUCUUUUUUUUCAAUAAUACAUUCCUACAACAUUUAAUACAUAAUAAUACAUACAUUUUAAAGAGCUGAAGGGAGAUAGAUACUUUGAUUUUUACAGGGUCUGGCUAAAGGUGAGGCCAGAGGAAAGUACUAUUUUGGGUGACAUCGUGUUACUGAUAAUUAUUGCAAUCUGCAGCCCUCCAGAUGUUUUGGACUAGAUCUCCCAUAAUGUUCUUAGGGCCAUAAUACUAGCAAAGCAUCAAGGGAGAUGUAGUCCAAAACAUCUGAAGGGCCGCAGAUUGCCCACCGUUUAUGGAAUUGAAAAUAUGAUAUAGAAAAAGUCCAAAGUAUCUUUUUUAAACUGACACAUUACUGUAAGUUUUAUUGCUGUGCUCUGUUACCCUGGUAGACACAAAAUAAAUCCUAUAUAGAUAUCCUUUUCUAUCCUAGAUAUUAGGAUAGAAAAGAGGGACCGUAGGAUCUUUGCCCAAAAUAUGGACUAUCUCUAGCAUGUAUGGACAUCUCGGAUUAGGAAUACUAUAGUUUUUAAUAUUUCACUAUAAAAUAUUUCGGACCGAUAAGAUAUUCUUAUUUUAUAUAACUGAAAAUAUUUAUGAAAUAGAUUUUUUAAAUUGCUUUUGAGGACUUUUUCCGCUGAUCGCUCUCAGCCAAUGAGCUUCCAACUCUCUGAUAAGUUGUCGGACUGCAUUUAUUAGGGGGUGCUAGGGCACUUCUUGCACCAUAGCCAACACAGUGUGCUAUACGGGUUAUGGUUCUUGGAGUGUUCUGUUAAAUUUGUGGUUGAAGGAAAUGGUGCUAUAAUUAUAGAAUAAAGCUGCUUGUUUCUCCUGCCAUGGAGCUUGGACCUGAUUUGCUUGUUCCACAGUACUUGGCAUAUCUGGCCCUUGAAAUGCACCCUACAUUCUUUAGCAAAUGUAAGAUGUCCUUCCUGAACUUUACCCCUAUAAAUGCAUAUAGGAUGGGAUUUAGGCAACAUCUGAUGAAUGCCAGGUUUCUGGUGACGAUAAAGGCAACAUCUUUAUGCAUUCUUAUUGUGCAAGACAUUUGAGCUUUCUUCAGCAGGUCUGUGGUUUCAAGAAACAUGACCAGAGUGUACGGGAGCUGGAAGAGCACAAACACAACCACAAGGGACAUGAUAACUUUAAGAGCUUUGUGCUUCUCAAAGCUUCUGGCAGACAUCAAGGUCUUAGCAAUAAAGGAAUAACAAAAGACCAUGACAAAGAAAGGAAUAAUAAAACCAAAGCUGAUUUGGGAGAAGUUGCUGAUCCCUUUCACCAUGGCAGUGACAUCUUCUGGAAAAACCAUACUGCAAAUGUUCACUUCUUCCACCAGUUGAGAUUUACUGUAAAUAAACUGUGGGGAUGUAAGCAAAACAGAUAACACCCAGACCCCUGUGGAGACCAAUUUGCUGUAAAAGAUAGACUUUUGACGCAUUCUGUGGGCUUCAACUGCUUGAACUAUUUCAAUGUAUCUGUCCACACUGAUGGAUGUUAGAAAGAGAAAGCCACUGAAGAAAUUGAUUGAAUACAUUCCUUCAACUAUUUUGCACAUUAUAUUACCAAACACCCAUCCUUGGACUGCAUUUACAGCUAUAAAAGGUAAGGUCAGGAGAAGAAGGAGGUCGGCUACUGCUAAGUUGAUCAAGUAGACAUCUGUCAUCGAUUUAAUUUUUCUAGAGAAGCUGUAAGUAGAAAGAACCAAACUGUUUCCAGCUAUGCCAAUCAGAAAAACGAGUGUACACAAACAUGGUUGAAAAAUUCGACUGAAUUCAUAUAUUUCCUUUCUGUUACAAAUUACAGCCACGUCAUGGAAAUAUUCAGAUGCAGCAUAAUAAUCAGUAGUAGGGUCAUCAUGAUAAUCCGAAGUCUGCAAAAAAAAGAUAUAAAUAUAUAUAAUAACCAACCAAU